GUACCAUGGAAAUGGGGCCCACAGACCAAUGCUUCUCAGCCCCCUGGAUUCAGCCCCCUUCCUAGGGGUAUGUACGGACCUCCCGUCUUGCUGAAGAUCCUGAGCCAAAGGAAUUAUUGGCUGCAGCAUCAUCAAAUCACUAAUGUAUUACCAAUGAAGAGCCGGCAUCUUGGGCUUUUACCCUGAUGGGAACCAUCAAGCAGAACCUUCUGGACCUGUACUUCCGAGUUCACUAGGGCUGGGAGAACUCAGCCCAGGGAUCAGCAACGCAUGUACGAGUCUCUCCAGAAGAGGCAAAACACUGACUGUAUGCUCUACAACUAACUAAUCUUCAGUUUGCAGAAGAGGAAACUAAAGGACAGGAAGUUGGCUGAUUCCUACAAUGAGCAGAAGUUACAGCAAAGGUCAAUGCCAGGACUGAGUUCCCUGUUUUUCUCACUCACAUUCUUUAAGUUGGUACCUGGGCCCCUGGUGCAGGAUGGGUUCUUCAUAAACCUUUAUUAAAUAAGUG
rnacentral:lncRNA from 1 species